rnacentral:rRNA from 1 species
GACGAACGCUGGCGGCGUGCUUAACACGUGCAAGUCGAACGAUGACGCCCGAGCUUGCUCGGUCUGAUUAGUGGCGAACGGGUGAGUAACACGUGAGCAACCUGCCCUUCACUCUGGGAUAACCUCGGGAAAUCGGGGCUAAUACCGGAUAUGAGCUCCUGUCGCAUGGCGGGUGUUGGAAAGUUUUUCGGUGAAGGAUGGGCUCGCGGCCUAUCAGUCUGUUGGUGAGGUAGUGGCUCACCAAGGCGAUGACGGGUAGCCGGCCUGAGAGGGCGACCGGCCACACUGGGACUGAGACACGGCCCAGACUCCUACGGGAGGCAGCAGUGGGGAAUAUUGCACAAUGGGCGAAAGCCUGAUGCAGCGACGCCGCGUGAGGGAUGACGGCCUUCGGGUUGUAAACCUCUUUCAGCAGGGAAGAAGCGAAAGUGACGGUACCUGCAGAAGAAGCGCCGGCUAACUACGUG